UGACCGUGUUUGAUGACUAACUUCUCUGC
rnacentral:piRNA from 1 species